UACGGAGGGUGCAAGCGUUAUCCGGAUUUACUGGGUUUAAAGGGUGUGUAGGCGGGCUUUUAAGUCAGUGGUGAAAUCUCCGGGCUCAACCUGGAAACUGCCAUUGAUACUAUUAGUCUUGAAUAUUGUUGAGGUAGGCGGAAUAAGUCAUGUAGCGGUGAAAUGCAUAGAUAUGACUUAGAACACCGAUUGCGAAGGCAGCUUACUAAGCAAUGAUUGACGCUGAGGCACGAAAGCGUAGGGAUCAAACAGG
rnacentral:rRNA from 1 species